CUGCAGCCCAAGUGGUGAUCGAUAUUAUUGAGCCUAAAGCGUCCGUAGCCGGUUUGGUAAACCCUCGGGUAAAUCGAGCAGCUUAACUGUUCGAAUUCCGGGGGGACUGCCAGACUUGGGACCGGGAGAGGUCAGAGGUACUUCAGGGGUAGGGGCUAAAUCCUGUAAUCCUUGAAGGACCACCAGUGGCGAAGGCGUCUGACUAGAACGGAUCCGACGGUAAGGGACGAAACCCUGGGGCGCAAACCGGAUUAGAUACCCGAGUAGUCC
rnacentral:rRNA from 1 species